rnacentral:rRNA from 1 species
UACGUAGGGUGCGAGCGUUAAUCGGAAUUACUGGGCGUAAAGCGUGCGCAGGCGGUGAUGUAAGACAGAUGUGAAAUCCCCGGGCUCAACCUGGGAACUGCAUUUGUGACUGCAUUGCUGGAGUGCGGCAGAGGGGGAUGGAAUUCCGCGUGUAGCAGUGAAAUGCGUAGAUAUGCGGAGGAACACCGAUGGCGAAGGCAAUCCCCUGGGCCUGCACUGACGCUCAUGCACGAAAGCGUGGGGAGCAAACAGG